rnacentral:rRNA from 1 species
GACGAACGCUGGCGGCGUGCUUAACACAUGCAAGUCGAACGGAAAGGCCCUGCUUUUGUGGGGUGCUCGAGUGGCGAACGGGUGAGUAACACGUGAGUAACCUGCCCUUGACUUUGGGAUAACUUCAGGAAACUGGGGCUAAUACCGGAUAGGAGCUCCUGCUGCAUGGUGGGGGUUAGAAAGUUUCGGCGGUUGGGGAUGGACUCGCGGCUUAUCAGCUUGUUGGUGGGGUAGUGGCUUACCAAGGCUUUGACGGGUAGCCGGCCUGAGAGGGUGACCGGCCACAUUGGGACUGAGAUACGGCCCAGACUCCUACGGGAGGCAACAGUGGGGAAUAUUGCACAAUGGGCGGAAGCCUGAUGCAGCAACGCCGCGUGCGGGAGGACGGCCUUCGGGUUGUAAACCGCUUUCGCCUGUGACGAAGCGUGAGUGACGGUAAUGGGUAAAGAAGCACCGGCUAACUACGU